rnacentral:lncRNA from 1 species
ACACAUCUCUACUCCCACUCACUUCCUGUAGCCUCCCCCUCGCCUCUGACUUUCUUUAAAUGCAAUGUUUUAGGUCAUUCUUCUUGUCCAGCUUCUCUGUUAAAUUAAAAACACCCUAGUGCUUGUACAUUUAGCUGAAUCAAGCCAGACGCUGUAUUUUAUUUUUAUAACUGAAUUCCUGUGAGAUAAAAAUCUCAUUUUCCUUAGUAGGCUGUAAUCAGCACUCACAGGGAUGUGGUUUCCAACUGCCCCAGCUCGUGCUUCCUUAUGAAGCUCCGCUGAGAAAUGAACUUGGCUCCUGUUCAGGUUUAAAGGGCCCGAGGCCGGUCACACAUUGCUCACUCAUACACACACACACACACACACACACACACACACACACACAGAGGAUGUGCACACAAAGACCAUUAUACAUGUAUGCACACACACAUGGACACACGUUCUUGUCCAGGGAAGCCCCUACGGUUCCACACACGAAGAGCAAAAAAGUAUUCCCUGAGACAGACAGACACACAAUCAGUACCCAGUGUCAUUCUUCCCCUUUCCAGGAGGAAAAUAGGUGAAUAAGUCAAGCUGAAAGCUGCUUCCGAAAAGACUGUUUUAAACUAGCAGGCAGGCCAGCGUUAUGCAACUCAUGGCUAGGUUCAUUAAAGGAAUCGAGGUUUGCCGACUGCACAAAUGUUCCCCUGCCUGCCUCCGCCCCAGCCCCUCCACCCCACCCUGCUCUGAUUCAUGAACUAGUUUUCAGAUUCAUGAAUCACUCGGGAGCCAGCAAGAGAAAAAUGAGUAGUAUUGAUCUCAUUUCAAUUGAAAUGGGCUCAUUAAGGCCAUGCUGGCUGUGGACGGCCUUGCACGACAAGACGCUGGCCGGCGUCCGAGGUCUGCAGGCGGGCGCCCGAGCCUGCGGGUGGGACAGGACUCCUUGGGUGAAGCCUCCGCGGAGGGUGCCCCUUCUUAUUAUUAUUAAAUGGACACAAUAUGAUCUACUGGUACAAGGGACUCUGGCUGCACUCCGCAGCCCUCGUUGGGCAGGCCGGUUUUCUUCUUUUUGUGUGGCCCGUUUAUUUUGUUAUUUUUUUUCACAGUUAAUGGAAUCUCAGUGCAGUUUCGCUCCUGGAUUUCUGGUGACUCUUAAGGACUACCUGAAGUAGGAAUUCACCUUCUGAAACAACUGGCAUAUCUUGGGGUUUGUUUGUUUUAACGCAAACAAGGAGCUUUUUACUCUUCUCCCUCCAGACCUCUGCCUUGCCACCCUCCUUGUACCGUCUUCAGCGAGAAGGACUAGGGGCUAGGAACCAUCUAGACUUGGAGUAAUCUAAUUUAUGUGGGGAAAAUUUCUCCACCAACUGGAUGGCUGCCUUCACGUGGACACCGGUUUUAUAAAACCACUCUUUCCCUUCCCAAAUGAGAAUAAUGGUUGAGGAAGCAGCAACAGAGCCUGGGUGCAGAGACAUCACAGAGGGAGGCGUUAGGCCCCUGGGGCAGAUGUCGCAGAGGCCGCCCACGAAGGAGCUCUCUUCUCUCCCACUGCCUUUCCUCUCCCCACUUGAGUUCCAGCUCCCUCUUGACACGAGCUCCCCUCCCCUUUCCAGCCCUUCGCCUUACACUUGUCCUCAUGUCUGGGGAAUCUUUUCCUCUUCCUCUCUACAACACCGGUUGGGCACCGUGUGUGAGCAGAUCAGGAGAGGCUAUUAGCUUUGAUUUGCAGCUUCCAAAUGGAUUUUUGCAUGGUUUCUUCCUCCAGCUCCUUCCACCCCCACGCCAGCCCUGGGAGAUUAAAAACAAUGGACUGGACACAUGCUUUUCAGAAAACCCAAAAAGCUGUCAACCAACACCACAGAAGGAUUCCAUCCUAAGAGGCAUACUUUUGGAUCCAAGAGUUUAGAAAUGAGAUUCUUAUCCAUUGACUUCAGAGACACCGUCAUGCAUUAGACGCAUUUCCCUUGGCAGGGAUUCGACGAAGUGACCUUACUCCCCUUUGUUCCUGCAGUGCCCGGAGAAACUGGGAAUGACCCAAAGAAGGAAAAGGAAGGCCAAGGGUAACGUCGUUGCCUGAGAAGCACUGGAGGAGAGGCAGGAACACAGAUUUGUCGAGAGCACUUACAUGUGUGCACACACCGUAACAAAGGGCAGGCUUGUUGUACGGCCACAUCACGGAGCCAGGGGACGUGCCUCGGGAAGAUGAAAUAACGCUACAUCCUCUGCCUGAAGUGACGGUCUCAGCCAGCCCAUGAGCCUUGACAGCGCAUUGUUGGAGUUUGGAAUCAACUGCCGCCUUUUCAUGGAUAACUUCCUGAAUCUGCAGUUAAAAUUUCAUUUUUUUCUGGGUGCCCCGAGUAAAACACCCUCUGUUAAAGAUUUAUCACUUCCGCUGUAUUUCAGCUGCCUGUGGGCAUCCCUCAAUGGUGAGCUCCGUGACAGCAAGGACUGUGUCUUUGUCCUCCAGAUCACGAUUCAUGCUAAACACUGCUCUGUCCAGAAUUUAUUGUUUUGUAUUUUGACGUCUCUGUCCAGAUGUCUCUCUGGGAUCACAGACGGAGAGCUCUUUGAGCACAUGGACUUUGUCUUGUUUAUCUUUAUAGCCCCAGUGCUGAACAGACUGUCACACCGAAGGUGCUCACGGGCCUGCCGGACGAUUGAAGUUGUACAACCUGCAGACAGAGGAGCUAAGUGUCCACACGGCCCUCCCUGCUCUUUCCAUUCUAUGUAGCUAUCUUGCUGGCACCAUUUACUCCUUUCUUUCUUUCUUUUUUUUUCUUUUCUUGAGACAGAGUCUCUAGCUGUCGCCAGGCUGGAGUGCAAUAAUGGCAUGAUCUCGGCUCACUGCAACCUCUGCCUCCCGGGUUCAAGUGAUUCUCCUGCCUCAGCCUCCCGAGUAGCUGGGAUUACAGGCAUGCGCUACCACGCCCAGCUAGUUUUUCUAUUUUUAGUAGAAACAGGGUUUCACUAUGUUCACCCGGAUGGUCUCGAUCUGUUGACCUCGUGACCCGCCUGCCUCAGCCUUCCAAAGUGCUGGGAUUACAGACGUGAGCCAUGGUGCCCAGCCACUCCUUUCUUACUCCUUUUUAGUCCAGUGAAAUCUAGCUAGCUUCUCCCUUACCCGUAAUUGUUUCAUUGUAACUUAUUCUUGCUGAGAUUACUAGAGCUAUAUUUAGACCUCCUAAAUAGUAUCAUCCACUGCCUACAGUCCUUUGGACUGUAUUCAGUUCGUGUGACCCCUCCCUCGCAUGGAAACUCUCUCUUGCCUUAGUUUUUAUGGCAUGACAGCCUUAUGCUUGCCUUCCUGUCGCAGAGCUCGUGUAUCCAGCAAUUAUCGGUGCUCCCAAGGUUCCUUGUUCUUCCCCCUUCAGAGGUCUGUGCUCCUCAACAACUCUGACCCAGCCGUGGUUCCAACAACCAUGCCAAUGUGAAGGACCCUAGAUUUCCAUCUCCAGCAAGGACCUCUUUCCAGAGUGUUGGAUGGGUAUUCCCAUUAACCUACUAGACAGCUGCAUGUGGAUCUCUCAGAGCCCCUUUAAACUCAGAUCAUCUUCCCACCAAAAUCUGUCCUCCCCUCAACUCAGGACAAAGACCUCACUGUAGGAGAACAAAGGAAGUGGAAAUCUAACAGGUGGCAGUUCACCUACAAAACCUUAGUGUCAUGCAAGAGGGCUGUCCUGUGCGGUCAUUCUCAGUAUUGAGCCAAUGUAAUGAAGAAGCGUGUAGUGUGUGGUGGGCAUUUUCCAUUAUGUUUUGGUGGCCCCACAUGGCUGGACUUCCCAGGAGCUUCCCAGAGCUCCUGCUUUGGUUAAUGGUGAGCAUUUAGGCCAGACGGCCUUGCAAAUAUCUUUCCUACAUGGGACACACUGUUGCAGCCUUGCUCUAAGGCAUAGCCUGCCUUUUUUUUUUUUUUUGGUAUGAUAAAAGAAAUAUAGAAUAUUAAUAUAUUCUCCCUGGCUUUCAAAGAUUCCCAGUGCAUUUUUCUAAUACAGCAGCUAUUUACAUUAUAUUUUCUUCUUGAUUCAUCAUUUUUGAAUGAGGCCUUGUGGGUUUGAGGGCUGGUGAGAAAUAGUGCCGGGGAGAGGGUGAGGAAGAUUGCUUUAGAUGAGAGGCACGACUGUAAAUCUUGAAGUAAAAUUAUCUUUGUGAACUAAACGGUACCUGAAUUUUAUUCAAAUGAAAAGCUGGGCAAUUGAGUGUGAUUUAAAAUGAUCACUGUUCUAUACUUCAAAUGCACUGAAACAGGUUUAUUUUGCAAUAACCUGGAGAACAUAUGCAAAUUGAAGUUAUAUUGUUUAAUCUGAAGAAGUGAAGGCUGACUGAAUAAUCGGACUGCAAGGAUAUGAAGUAUUAUGUUGAGGAUAUAUACCACGAUUUACCAUUAAAUAGUACACAAAAUUAAAAUGGACUUAAAAUGCUCAGGAAAUAUGUAUUGUUAGAUAAUAGAAAAGUUAAAAUUUCUAAAAAUAGCUAAUGCUUCAUGGAUUUUUAAAGUUUUGUUUUGUUUUGUUUUUUUGUUUUUGAGAUAGGGAGAAGAUACUAGGGGAAAAAAGCAGAUGGAAAACUUCCUUGUGGUUUUUCUGUAGUAGCUUAGAGUCUGUUCUAAGGAGCAGAGAUUUCAGAGUAUGGUCUUGGAAACCUUUGUGUUCUUUGUUUCUUGUAGACGCCACACGCCUCUGUCCCCUGGCCACAGAGGCUGAUUUUGCUGUAUCUGACAUGGGUUUCUUGACCUGCUGGGAAGGCCCAAUGUCUAAUUUCCUGGUCUGCACCCUGCAGAAACCAGUGGAAAUUAAGCAGCGAUCGAUUAUCCUACCCCAUCACACCUUUCCUAGAUCAGAUGAUGCUGGCUGAGGCUUUGAAGUAUUGACAACACACUCUUUUUUCUUUUUACACCUUUUCUUCAGAGGACCUGACUCAUUCCCUGUAAAGGGAGGAAUCACUGCAGAGACACCCCCUGUAGCCACACUGCACCCUUGCAGGGGCUGGGGGACGAGAAGCAGGAUGUUGGUAGUGGUGUUGUUACCUCUCAUGACACGAAUCAGGCCCUUCCACCAUACACUUCAUUGAGGGGAUUCUGAAAUGGGGUCCUAAGGUUGCUCUGCUCUGAGAUGGAGCGUGGAGCACCGCCUCGCACUGUUGCUCUGGGGUUUGUCUUUUGCCUGGGUCUAGCUUAGCAAGGGCAAUGGCAAGAAGGGGUUUGGGAGUCAGGAGACUAUUAAUUCCAAGGGCCAAGGAUUGGCACAUCUUGGAAUAUUCCAGAAGUGUCCGCUCAGAUGGCAAAUAUGGGGACAACGUUACCGGCCCUCCUUCCAGCAAGGAGGCUAAUAUAGACCCACUCACUGCUACCAACCACCAACUCUUGACCCUUGGAAUGAAACAGUCUGUUAACUCCCAAACCCCUUCUUGCCAUUGCCCUUGCUAAGCUAGACCCAGGCAAACGACAGGCCCCAGAGCGACGCUGCAAGGCAGUGCUUCGCGCCACUUUCAUCAGGGAGGUGCCUGUGAGAUUCUGCCUCGUCCCCAUGACCUAGUUCAUGCCCUCGAUAUGCCGGUGAGAUGUGCAGGAGCUUCCUGAAGGGCCGCAUCAUCCAGCCUUUAUUUUUGUACCUCUGUAUGAGUUUUUCUCAACUCCUGCUGUCCAGUAGCCUCACUUAGGGAACCUGUAAAUAAUACCUAUGCUUGGGCCCCACCCAAGACCCAUUAAACUGGAUUAUCUGGGGAGGAAACCUGGCAGUGGUGCUUUUUAAAAAGCUCCCCAGAUGACUUUAGUGUGCAGCCUGGAUUGAGAAUUGCUGGAUCAAUUGCUGGGGGAAGAGAGAGUUCUGUGCCAGCAUAUGAGUGGGUUUUCAUAACACUAAGGAGCCUUACUGUGUGUAGGUGAUACCUACACUUCAACCAGGAGUUCUGACAGAUCAAGGACUAUUGCCCUACCAGCUGGGGAGUGACACGAGAGAGGCAUGGGCAAGGAACCAGUACAGGGAGCCCACUUACCUGGGAGAGCUGUACAAAGUUCACUGCAAAGGGUGAAACCUGAAUUGUUUGCAUUAUGCGUGGGUCUUUGGCAGAUAGAGAUGGGGAGACAGGACAUUUCCGCAGAAAGGACAAUGUGCAGGCGUGAUGCAGCAUGAUUUUUCAGGGGGACCAGAAGGUAAGUGUCAAAAAAGCAGACUCUGGGGCGUCCUUGUCCCUUUCCAGGAGCUGAGACCUGAGCUAGACACCACUGGGAUGUGUCUGGAAGGAAUGAACUGGUGGACACGGAAGCAUUGUCUUCUCAAGGGUGCAGGGUGUGCCUGGAGAUGAGGCUGGAGACAGCAGGAGCCCUGCCAUGGAUGGAAUUCUGCACCACGUUAAUUGGACUUUACCCACAGCCCCGGGCACAGCGGUCACCCCGGUGGAGUCAGCGGCACCAUGAGAGGCGCUACCCAGGAACAGCUCUGUGCACCUUGACUGCUCACCGGCCAAGCCCAAGUCCCUGAGCCUGCUCCUGACACCCAGUCGGCUUGCUUCCCCGCCUCAUCUUUGACUGCUCUUCCUUUCAGUCACCCCUCAUCUUCCUUCUACUUCUAUGCAGGUCCAAGCAUACUUACUGUGGCUUAUUUUGUUCCCUCUGCCUGAAAGAGGUCUCUUCACCUGUCAAACUCCCGGGUACCCUUCAGACUGAGAUGAUUGUCCCCUUGAAUGUGAAUUUCCCUGAGGCAAAACUCACCGGUUCUGCUGCUGCGUCUGUGUUCCUUCAACCCAUUCUCCACACAGGGCCAGAGCCAUCUUAGCUCCAGGCACGUCACCAGUUCACGUCCCAACGAGUUUAGAAUGAGUUCACAUUCUUUGGUGGCCACAUGCCUGCCCUACUGGCUCAUCUCUGACCUCACUCUCACCAUGCUCCUCUUCCUUCUAGCACCAUCGGCCUCCUGGCACUUCCUGGAACUGCCUCAGGUCUUUCCUCUUGCCUCAGGUCCUUUGCACAAAUGAUUCCCUCCUCUCUUUCCCUGGAAUUCUCACUGUGUAUCUUCCAGAUCUCUGCUUAAAUGUCGUCUCCUCAGACAGGCCUUCCACACCUUCCUCUCCAAAAGAGGUUCUCACCAUUGUCUCAUUAUAACAAGGCUAGUCUAAGUCCAUAUAUGCUGCUAUAACAAAACACAUAGAGGGGGCAGCUUGUAAACAACAGAGAUGUAUUUCUCACUGUUCUGCAGGCUGGGAAGUCCAAGGUAAAUGUACUGGCUAAUCUAACGUCUGGUGAAGACCCACUUCCUGGUUCAUAGGUGGUGCCUUCUCACUUCAUUGUCACAUGAUAGAAGGGGUGAGGGAGUUCUCUGGGUCCCUUUUAUAAGGGUGCUAAUCCCAUUCAAGAAGGCUCCACAUUCAUGACCUAAUCACCUCCUAAAGCCCCACCUUCUAAUACCAUGACCAUAUGGUUUUUGCUGUGUCCCCACCCAAAUCUCUUCCUGAAUUAUAGCCCCCACAAUUCCCAUGUGUCAUGGGAGGGACCAGGUAGGAGGUAAUUGAAUCAUGGGGGUGGGUCUUUCUAGUGCUGUUCUCGUGAUAGUGAAUAAGUCUCACGAGAUCUGAUGGUUUUAUAAAGGGGAGUUUCCCGCACAAGUUCUCUUCUCUUGUCCACUGCCAUGUGAGAAGUGUCUUUCACCUUCCACCGUGAUUAUGAGGCCUCCCCAGCCAUGUGGAACUGUGAGUCCAUUAAACCUCUUUCUUUUGUAAGUUGCCCAGUCUCAAGUAUGUCUUUAUCAGCAGUGUGAAAACGGACUAAUACACAUCACCUUGCAGGUGAGAAUUUCAACAUAUGAAUUUUGGGGGGACACAAAAAUUCAGACCACAGCAUUUAGUCAUUGUUCUCUGUCUUUCUUUGUUGACUUCAGUUAUGACCACCUCCUAGCUAGAGUGUGAGCUUUGUGAGACAGAGACCACCUGUGUUGCAGCAGAAUAUUUGUUGAAUAAAUUAAUGAAGUAUUAAUUAUUAGGUAUUGCCAUUUUAAUGAGCAUGUUUCCUUCAUUGCACUGCAAGUCCAUUGAAACUAUUAGCCUUUGUGAUUUUGACAUAUAUAUUUUGGCCUGGCCCCAAAUCUAAAUAUUUGCAGGAUUGAAGAGAACUUGACUCAUGAUUGGAAUGAACUGCAAAGAGGAAGCUUUCAAUACUUGAGCACUUCAAACUGAACCUCUGAAGUGGGACCGAACCCAAUGCAAGCCCUAGGCCAAGAUUCAAGGGCAGUUCCUUAAUGUUGCAAGUGACUUAAGGAAAUGAUCACUGGCCAUAGGCAGAGCAGGAGAGAGCAGACUGAGCUGAAGGGAAAGUUACUGGUUUACCUCUGGGGUUUCCCUCUGUCCCUGAGUCUUUUCCUUUCCUAGGGCAAGAGCCACCCUGUGGGGUUGGAACAGGGUUUUGAGCCUCCUGCAAACCUGCAUCCUGGGCCCCGGUAAGGAGCUCAUGGCCUCACGGUUUUUGCCCUUCCUUCCUAUGCUGUUACUGGGGAAUGAUUGCCAGCAAGGGGAGAUUGCGAGGAAUGAAAAGGGCACUUCAAAUGGACUAUUAAAACACACACACCCCAGGAAGAAAUGCUCCCAAGAACCCAGAUUGUAGAGCGGGGGGUCUGAGGUAGUGGGCUUAGCUCAGGGGCCUGAGGAGGUCUCAUGAUGCUAACAACUGAGUCCCUGGCACCACUGUUCACACUACCAGUGUUGACAAGUAUUGAGGUUUGAGCUCUGCAAAACCUAGAAAGUGGCCUCAUGCAUUCCUAUUUUAAAUCUCUCAGGUUUGGGAAAAAUGAAACUAGUGCUUCCUGAUAAUGAAGAGAAAAAGGCCCCAAGAGAAGAUCCUCCUGCUAAUAAAGAAGUCUCUUGCCCUCUCAUAGGCUCUCUUGGGGCUUCCUCUUGGGGUUACCCCAGUUGAAUCUCCCUUUUAAAGCUCCACAAGGGGUUUGGAUGUGAUUAAACUGACAUGGAAGUGAACACUCACUCAGAUUCCCAGGGCCGGGAAGCCAUGGGGCACAUAAUCACCCUACCCUAAAAUGCUUUCCUUGGGGCUUACUCAAGUCCACUCUUGGGAAGCAUAUGUAGGAAGGAGGGGAUAGAAGCCUUUGACUCUGCUGGUGGAGGGAAAUGGACUCCCUUACCCCUUCUAUAUCCAUAUGCUCAUUUCAUUGACCUGUGGCACAGAAAGUGCUUACACAUCUUGGUCUGGCACGGUAGCUGACGCCUGUAACUGCAGCACUUUGGGAGGCUGAGGUGGGCAGAUCAUGAGGUCAGAAGAUUGAGACCAUCCUGGCUAACACGGUGAAACCCCGUCUCUACUAAAAAUACAAAAAAAAAAAAAUUAGCUGGGCAUGGUGGCAAGUGCCUGUAGUCCCAGCUACUUGGGAGGCUGAGGCAGGAGAAUGGUGUGAACCUGGGAGGCGGAGCUUGCAGUGAGCUGAGAUCGCGCCACUGCACUCCAGUCUGGGCAACAGAGCGAGAUUCUGUCUCAAAAAAAAAAGUGCUUACACAUCUUACAUGGACAAGACACUAGCCCGCUUCAUUGCUCCACAUUGCAAAUCAGUACUCCUCAUUCUCUUUCCAGCCUUGUCCAUGAGGCUUCUCCUUAGCAGAGCCAGGCAGAAGUUUGCCCUCAGUAGUACCCUCUCACUCUCCUUUUCUCCCCCAUGCCUGGCCCUUUUUGUGUCCCCACAAGGGCCCAGUAUUUUCUUGCAAUUCAGGCUAUUCACGACCUCCAAGACACCCAACUGCAUUCCCUGACUCUCUCCAGGUCAACCCUUUUCCAUUCCCCCAACAAAACACAACAGUCCUAUUUCUACUCACUGUUGAGGAAGAAAUUAGAUCUCUGAUUCCUCCCUCUUCUUUUCCCUCAAUACCAAUUAGCUAAAUUGUAUUAGAUACCAUUUAAAAUGAUGUUCUUUCCAGGGUGUUUUGAGUGAUAACAGAGGCUUCCUGAAGGUUUACCACCCAAACUUACACAUCUGGCAUCAGUUUUCUUCUUGUGCUGUCAUCUCUAGGGUCUAUCACACAAUUCAGACUUCAGUGUACAUAACUUGUCAUAUUUUGGGCUAUUUUCAUGUGAGUUAUUCCUGUCUCCCCAUCUAGAUUUUAAAUUUUAAAUGCCUAUAUCCUAACAGAGGGCUAAAGACAUUGCUUCACACUUACGAAUGAGCCUCUAGUGUACGUGAAGUCAGCACAGGAAGGAGAAUCAUAAAAUACUCGCAAGUUUCAGUGAGGAGGACUUUGUAGAAUCUAGUUCAGCUUCCUCAUCUGAUAGAUAAGAAAGCUGUGGUUCAAGGAAGUCUAAUAACACAUGAAACAGUGAAUCAUUAAUAAUUCAAGAACAAAUAUUUAUUCAAUGUCUAAUCUGUUCAGUAUAAUGGGAAUAUAAAGAUGAACCAGUCAUGGACCUCACUCUCCAUGAACUUAGGGUUUGAUUUGAGAAGGAGAUAAGAUAUGUGUGAGCAUCAAUAACUGUACUAUGCCAUAGGAAGCACCAUGAAAGUGCUAAAUGAACUAUAAUCAAGUGCUUAACAUGGUGAGGGUGAACUUAAAAUGCUGUGAGUGUCCAGGAAGAGCAGAGCUGAGGACAAGGGGUGACACAGAGGAAAUGUCCUACCAGGUCCAUGUCAAACAUCUAACUGGGAUUAUAGGCAAAAGCCUACUGAACCUGGUAAUGAAGCCCACACCAUGCUGCCCUUUGCUUGGUUAGUGAUGACUCUCAAGCUUGCUUUAUCCCAUGUUUAUGGGGAGUGUAUUGGGUGCCCUGUUGUGUCUGAUAAAGAGACCUAGAAGGAAGCUAAAACAGCAAAUGUAUCAAAUUACUAUCUUGGGACCUUCCAGCUCAAUCUGACUCUAACGAAGAUAGCAACUUAGAGGAAAGAAAACUGUCUUUGCUUUUUUUAAAUAUCCUCUCUUUCCACCAAGUGACUAUUGUUAGGUUUCAACUCUAUGUUGGGUUUCUCUCCCCAACUUCUUCCUAUUAAAUUAAUGCUUGCAAGAUGUGCCAGGAUGAUACAAAUAACUUUCAAAGGCAGAGCCCAGCUCUCAAAAGAUGAUGAGUCCUGAUACUCCAUGCUUCUUAAAGACUUACCUAGGUCAUCUGAGAGACAGAAGGCAAUCAAUGAUGAUCAGGGUCAGGUGCAUCCACGACUCACUCAAUUCUUGCACUUUGUGCUAUUGGGACGACAAAAGAAGCUGAAGCCACAGUUCGUGCCUUCAAUGAGAUUGCUGUCUAAGGGAGAGGAAAUGGCCAUGGUCGAAACACGUAGAGAGACUGACCCCUAAGUGCAAGAUAGCAUGGUUUGCAUUACAUACACGCAUAUGUGCGCGUACACACACACACACACACACACACACACACACACUCCCAAGAGCAGGGUUGUGUUUUGUUGCCUGGUAGCUCCACCACUUCACCCAGCUUCUAUCCAUCUUUCACCUUAGAGACAGAAGGGUGGAAGCUCUUUAGAGGCUACCUUGCCACCUGACUCCUCCCUGCCCCUCCUUUGAGACCUCCAGCCCUCUGUGAGCGCAGCUCUAUCUUCAGCCCUCAAUCCUGUCUCCUCAUCUGGCGCCCCUUUUCCAUGUCCUGCAAACAUGACUAGACCCUGAUGAUUCUCAAAAAUGUGUCAGCAACUCUGCCUUCCUCUCAAACUACUGCUCCACUUCACCCCUUCCCUUUGGCACCAAUCUUCAUUUUAUAAAAAGGCUGCAUUCACUGUCCCUACUUUCCCAUCCUCCACAUUGCUACGGUUCAGUGUUCCGCCAUUGUUCCGGCUCAGCUUCUGCCAGCACCGGGAUGGCUCCUGUGCUCAUGCCUGCUCUUGGGAUGUGAUGAUCUCUGAGUUUCAGUCUUGGGACCAGCUCUUCACUUUCUCUGAGCAAACAUCGUUUGCUUCCCCUGGCUGACAACUCCCAGAGGCAGAUUUCCAGUCUUGACUUAAACCUUAGGGGUGCAGAAACUGUAUUUCCAACUACCUAUCAAGCAGUGAGUCUACCUGGAUGUCCCUUGAAAACCUUUAAUAAACAUGACCCAAAUGGACUCAUCCCCUUCCCCCUCAAGCUUGCUUCUGUAACAGUUUAUGUGAUCAUCAUGAUCUCCCGGGCAGCCUUCAGCUAGAACCUCAGGAUUAUCUUGAGUGCCUCCUUCUCUUUCAUGCCUGCUAUCCAAUUGCUUCGUAAGCAUCCCUUAAAUCUCUUUCCUCUUGUCACUCUAUCCCUGAUCCCUCAAGUCCAGCUGACCCACAUACUUUUUCCUGGUGGCCCCCAAAAGCUGUGAACACCAGCUCUUUUAGGCAGGAGCUCCAGCCCCCUCUUCACUGUUCCCAGCUCCAGGUCUCCUAUCCUUUGUUCCCCACCCCUUUAUUUCCAAUUUCUGGCCACUUUAGCUUCAUUGGUUUUAGAUUUCUAUAUGAUUUUCCACAAUAAUGCCUCAUCUGUCCUAUACUUCCGGCUUUUGGUAUAAAAUCACACCCAUGGUCUCUGGUGAAAAACAUCCUAGUCCAGUUCCUACGCCUGUGAACCCCACUGGCCAAUCUAGCCCCCAAGGCUCCGUCUCUGCUCUUCCUUAGUGAUGCUAUUAUUUAUGCACCCAUUUCUUUCACUGGACUAUAAACUCCUUUAUGACAAGAACUAUUAUUUACUUCUCUUCAAAUUCCAUUACAGGCACAUAGCAAGAGAGAUAAUAGGAUUAUUAAAAUAAAAAGAGGCCAGGCACGGUGAGCUUAUGCCUGUAAUCCCAACACUUUGGGAGGCUAAGGCGCAUGAAUUUCUAGAAGCCAAGAGUCCGAGACCAGCCUGGGCAACAUAGGGAGACCCCACCUCUACUAAAAAUAAGAAAAAAAAUUAGCCAGGUGUAGUGAUGUGCACCUGUAGUUCUAGCUACUCAAGAGGCUGAGAUGGGAGGAUCAUGAGAGUCCAGGAGUUUGAGGCUGCCCUGAGCUAUGAUCAUGCCACUGCACUAAAUCCUGGGUGGCAGAGCAAGACUCUGUCAAUAAAAUGAAAUACAAUAAAAUGAAAAGAGUGUGGUAUGUACAGGAAAUAUUCAGGAACGAUUCAAGGCAAUGCAUGUACUAUAGAAAUGCAGCCAGAGGGAAGGGCUAUUGUGGAUUGAGUCAGUACAGGAAGCUGGAUCUUUAACUGAAUACAGACAUUGUAAUUACAUAUCCUAAAAGCAGGAAAGCGCUGGUGACUCUGAUGAAGCCUAUCUUUUAAUUCCUCCCAGUGCCCUAAAUUCUUCCCUGACUCUGUUACCCUCUCAUAACCCAGCUGCGAUGACUACUGCCUGUAACACCGAGACGAGCUCUCCAGACUGUCAUGAGAAGCUUGGUGCAGCCAACUUGAAGUCAUGAGCUGACAACAACCUCCCUGCACAUGAGGGCCAGGAGGUUGGGAGGACCCCUGUUCUGCUUACUUAGACCAAAGGGAUCUUGGAUCUCUGCUUGGCCCCAGAGUAGCUCCAGAAUCAGAAAUGUUCAUCAUUCCUAUGAGCACAUAUCCAGGGAGUGUUUGAUCAUAAGUUCUCCCCAGAGUCAAGUCUUCAGCCAAGUGCGAACGGGCCUUGUAUAAUCCUGGCUGAGGCUCAAGGGCCUUGUUAGGUUUUUCCAAAGAAGUAUCCUAGGCCUUCUCAUUGGCUUCUCCAUUUACUGUUUCCUGUAAUGCUAUCAUGUGAUUGGAAUACUGCUGUCCUUAAGGCUGUGUCCCUUUGGUACGAUGAGCUCAAGUUUUGUUCCCUCUUCUCCUGGCCUUGCCUCUAUCCAACCCCCUUGGCUGAGAAACCACUGGACUGCAUCAGCCCAGAUUAUGUUUUCUUCCGAGAUCUUCCAGAUCUAACCUGUUUAUCACAAGCACAGCUGUGCAUGCAGUUCAUGCCCCAAAUAGAUAGGUAGGUUCUGCAAAGGGUACGAUUUGGGUUUGGCUCAUAAUGAAGGAAAACUCAGUUCAUAAGAAGAAGCUGGGCCAUGCUUAUGAUCGUCUCAGAUUGGUUUUGGCAGCCUGGACACCCUCUGGCCCCUUCUCCCUUCUAGCCACUCACCCUUACCUCAUCACUUUUCCAGCUGCUACAGGCCCCAGAUGGUGCAGAGUAGCUGCUAGCAGUGACUAUUUAUCAUGAGGCUGUGCGGGUGUAAAGAAACAUGGCCAACCACACUACAAGUGGUCUAACAACAUGGUGCCCAAGGGAAAGCACGUCCUG